rnacentral:rRNA from 1 species
AUUGAACGCUGGCGGCAUGCCUAACACAUGCAAGUCGAACGGCAGCACAGAGGAGCUUGCUCCUUGGGUGGCGAGUGGCGGACGGGUGAGUAAUGCAUCGGGACCUACCCAGACGUGGGGGAUAACGUAGGGAAACUUACGCUAAUACCGCAUACGUCCUACGGGAGAAAGCGGGGGACCUUCGGGCCUCGCGCGGUUGG